UACGUAGGGAGCAAGCGUUGUCCGGAAUCACUGGGCGUAAAGGGCGCGUAGGUGGCUUUGUAAGUUUGCGGUGAAAGCCCGGGGCUCAACCCCGGGUCUGCCGUGGAUACUGCAAGGCUUGAGUACUGUAGAGGCAGGUAGAAUAUCGGGUGUAGCGGUGGAAUGCGUAGAGAUCCGGAAGAACACCGGUGGCGAAGGCGGUUAGCUGGGCAGUUGCUGACACUGAGGCGCGACAGCGUGGGGAGCAAACAGG
rnacentral:rRNA from 1 species